AUAUUGUAAGAGGGAAAUUAAACUGGGACCCAGAAAAGGCUGACAUUUGAACGAGCCAGCAUGCUGGGACGCAGCGUGUACUUCAAAGGACCCGAGAGCCUUGUGGUAAAACAAUAAGUCACUCGGACUUCCUCUGAAUGGGCAGGCCAUUUGGCUCUCUGGAAUGUUACCACCUGGACACAACCAAGAUAAGGGGAACUAGUCUCUUUGCCUGUGGUUGUGGGUGUGGGUGUUUUGGGGUCGUAAAGGGUGAAGCGACCAGCACCUGGUGGGGGCACUACACGGGACAGUACCACACUGCCCACAUAUGGACCCCUCUGACAUUACACUUUGUAUUUCUUUUCUGGAUCUGGACUAUAAACCAUCUGUAUAUCUUAUUUACAAAUCCCGGAAAACCUUACAAACCAUGCACAUGUGUUCAUUGUAUUAUUGUAUUAUGCCUUAUGUAAUAAUAACAUGGAUUGCGUGUACAAUGGUUAAACAGAAGGGUAUUUUCAUGACAACUGCACCAUAAUAUUACAUCCACUUGGCAUGUUUGGUAUGUACAUGUUCACAAUAAUUAAGCCAUUGAAUGAAAUAUGUUUCAUACCAAAUAGAAUUUGAAAAAACAUAGUUUCAAUAACUCAGGAAAAACCUAACACAAUGGAAUGUCCUCUCUGGUAAUCAUCUCCCUUUCCCCAUUUCCCCACCAAUUGUUUUAACAACCUCCUCCAAAUGGUGGGGGCCGGAAUUAGAGAUUUAUGAUUCGGACAGGUUAAUUUAUGGCAAUGCCGCCUAGACCAAACGCGGGAUUUGGCUUAAAAGGAAGGGAGACAAAGCAAUCGGGGAAGAUCGUAAUCGACUUCCCACCGUGCACAUACUAUGCUAUGUGUUCUGUGUAGAGAUAGCCAUGGAAGAUCGCAAUCGACUUCCCGCACUGCGCAUACUCGAUGUUCUGUGUGUAGCUAAACAGGCUGGUAAGAACUCUCUUCCUCUGUAUUUAUGUUUUUUAAACCUUAUAAUUGAUUUGAAUUUAAAGAUAACAACCUACCUGCCUGUUAAAUAAAUUCUUCUGAUUUUAACUUG